rnacentral:rRNA from 1 species
UACGGAGGGGGCUAGCGUUGUUCGGAAUUACUGGGCGUAAAGCGUGCGUAGACGGCCUGUUAAGUCGGAUGUGAAAGCCCCGGGCUCAACCUGGGAAUGGCAUCCGAUACUGGUGGGCUGGAGUGCGGUAGAGGAGAGCGGAAUUCCCGGUGUAGCGGUGAAAUGCGUAGAGAUCGGGAGGAACAUCCGUGGCGAAGGCGGCUCUCUGGACCAGCACUGACGUUGAGGCACGAAAGCGUGGGAGCAAACAGG